rnacentral:rRNA from 1 species
GACGAACCGUGCGAACGUUGUUCGGAUUCACUGGGCUUAAAGGGCGCGUAGGCGGACAAUCAAGUCUAGGGUGAAAUUUUUCAGCUUAACUGGAAACGUGCCUUGGAUACUGGUUGUCUCGAGGGAGGUAGGGGCAUGCGGAACUUCCGGUGGAGCGGUGAAAUGCGUAGAUAUCGGAAGGAACGCCGGUGGCGAAAGCGGCGUGCUGGACCUCUUCUGACGCUGAGGCGCGAAAGCUAGGGGAGCGAACGGG